UACGUAGGGUGCGAGCGUUGUCCGGAAUUAUUGGGCGUAAAGAGCUCGUAGGCGGUGUGUCGCGUCGGCCGUGAAAACCUGCAGCUUAACUGUGGGCUUGCGGUCGAUACGGGCAUCACUGGAGUUCGGCAGGGGAGACUGGAAUUCCUGGUGUAGCGGUGAAAUGCGCAGAUAUCGGGAAGAACACCCGUGGCGAAAGCGGCUCUCUGGAACGGUACUGACGCUGAGACGCGAAAGCGUGGGGAGCGAACAGG
rnacentral:rRNA from 1 species